rnacentral:rRNA from 1 species
CCUACGGGUGGCAGCAGUGGGGAAUAUUGGACAAUGGGCGAAAGCCUGAUCCAGCCAUGCCGCGUGUGUGAAGAAGGCCUUCGGGUUGUAAAGCACUUUCAGUGGGGAAGAAAGCCUUGGGGCUAAUACCCUCGAGGAAGGACAUCACCCACAGAAGAAGCACCGGCUAACUCCGUGCCAGCAGCCGCGGUAAUACGGAGGGUGCGAGCGUUAAUCGGAAUUACUGGGCGUAAAGCGCGCGUAGGCGGUCUGAUAAGCCGGUUGUGAAAGCCCCGGGCUCAACCUGGGAACGGCAUCCGGAACUGGCAGGCUAGAGUGCAGGAGAGGAAGGUAGAAUUCCCGGUGUAGCGGUGAAAUGCGUAGAGAUCGGGAGGAAUACCAGUGGCGAAGGCGGCCUUCUGGACUGACACUGACGCUGAGGUGCGAAAGCGUGGGUAGCAAACAGGAUUAGAUACCCCUGUAGUC